UACGGAGGGAGCUAGCGUUGUUCGGAAUUACUGGGCGUAAAGCGCACGUAGGCGGCGAUUCAAGUCAGAGGUGAAAGCCCGGGGCUCAACCCCGGAACUGCCUUUGAAACUAGAUUGCUAGAAUCCUGGAGAGGUUAGUGGAAUUCCGAGUGUAGAGGUGAAAUUCGUAGAUAUUCGGAAGAACACCAGUGGCGAAGGCGACUAACUGGACAGGUAUUGACGCUGAGGUG
rnacentral:rRNA from 1 species